rnacentral:rRNA from 1 species
UACGAAGGGGGCAAGCGUUGUUCGGAAUUACUGGGCGUAAAGGGCGCGUAGGCGGCCGAUCAAGUCAGGCGUGAAAUUCCCGGGCUCAACCUGGGGGCUGCGCUUGAGACUGGCAUGCUCGAGUUCGGGAGAGGAUGGUGGAAUUCCCAGUGUAGAGGUGAAAUUCGUAGAUAUUGGGAAGAACACCGAUGGCGAAGGCAAUCCCCUGGGCCUGCACUGACGCUCAUGCACGAAAGCGUGGGGAGCAAACAGG